AUUGAACGCUGGCGGCAGGCCUAACACAUGCAAGUCGAGCGGCAGCGGGAAAGUAGCUUGCUACUUUUGCCGGCGAGCGGCGGACGGGUGAGUAAUGCCUGGGAAAUUGCCCAGUCGAGGGGGAUAACAGUUGGAAACGACUGCUAAUACCGCAUACGCCCUACGGGGGAAAGCAGGGGACCUUCGGGCCUUGCGCGAUUGGAUAUGCCCAGGUGGGAUUAGCUAGUUGGUGAGGUAAUGGCUCACCAAGGCGACGAUCCCUAGCUGGUCUGCGAGGAUGAUCAGCCAAACUGGGACUGAGACACGGUCCAGACUCCUACGGGGGGCAGCAGUGGGGAAUAUUGCACAAUGGGGGGAAACCCUGAUGCAGCCAUGCCGCGUGUGUGAAGAAGGCCUUCGGGUUGUAAAGCACUUUCAGCGAGGAGGAAAGGUCAGUAGCUAAUACCUGCUGACUGUGACGUUACUCGCAGAAGAAGCACCGGCUAACUCCGUGCAGCAGCCGCCGUAAUAC
rnacentral:rRNA from 1 species